AUUCAUUCAAAUAAAUAAGAAAAAGUAAAAGAUUGGAAAGACAUUGACAAGACUUCGAAGAGGGCUAAAGAAUAUGGCAACCAGGAACUUUAUAUUGCUUUGUGUCUUCCUUUCCAGUUUCUGGUUCAUCUGUGGCAGACCAUUGGAAGAUCAAGGUGCUCUGGUUCAGACAGAAAUGGACGACGGAUUGACGAGUAGAGAAGUCGCUAUCGCUCAAGGUCACCGCUUUAACAAGCCCGUAAAGAAGUCUUUCACUUACGGCACAGGGUAUGGUCAUUACCCCAAUCCUGAUGAUUAUGAAGAUCUGGAGACGUCGCAAUACCUCACUGAUCUCGAGCAGUUUUACAACUAUUGGUUUGGAGGUUAACUCACUGCCACUUAGAAAUUAUCUUUUAAUUGACGUAUUAAUCACGUAAAGGUCCAACUCUGUUUAGGUUCGUUAUAACGUCCGCGUAGCAGCAGAGAAAAAAAGGCUGACAUAGGUUUGGCCUUCAAUAAAUUAUUGCAUGUAACAUGUAACAUGUUUUUGCUAAACGUUGGCAUGAAAUAAAC